rnacentral:rRNA from 1 species
CAGCAGCCGCGGUAAUACGGAGGGUGCAAGCGUUAUCCGGAUUUAUUGGGUUUAAAGGGUCCGUAGGCGGAUCUGUAAGUCAGUGGUGAAAUCUCACAGCUUAACUGUGAAACUGCCAUUGAUACUGCAGGUCUUGAGUAAAUUUGAAGUGGCUGGAAUAAGUAGUGUAGCGGUGAAAUGCAUAGAUAUUACUUAGAACACCAAUUGCGAAGGCAGGUCACUAAGAUUUAACUGACGCUGAUGGACGAAAGCGUGAGAGCAAACAGGAUUAGAUACCCCAGUAGUCCCUGUCUCUUAUACA